rnacentral:misc_RNA from 1 species
AAGUCGUAACAAGGUUUCCGUAGGUGAACCUGCGGAAGGAUCAUUACCUAGAGUUGUAGGCUUUGCCUGCUAUCUCUUACCCAUGUCUUUUGAGUACCUUCGUUUCCUCGGCGGGUCCGCCCGCCGAUUGGACAAUUUAAACCCUUUGCAGUUGCAAUCAGCGUCUGAAAAAACAUAAUAAUUACAACUUUCAACAACGGAUCUCUUGGUUCUG